CCCUUUCUAAACGGUGCCAUUUGCUUCUUUUAUUUAAGUUAAUUUUUUUUUUAAAAUUCAUUCUUCUAUUGCUGUUUAAAAAAAAAAAACUUUUAAACACCCCCCAUUUCAAUUCCUCUGCUAAGGUUUUAAACCCCUCAUUUUUGCCUCCUCCAUAGCCGACCAUGAACUCCUCGGCGGUCCUCCACGCCCAUGCCACGAAUCGGUGACCAGUAUUGCGUGAUGUGGGAUUCUCCAACCCUCUUUGAACGAGUUCGAGGAUGGAAUCUCCCCAACUUGCGGCACCAUAAAGAGAGGAGGAGCCUUUUGGUUCCUCUCCCUACGCCACGGCCAAUGGCCAAACACCAAGGGUUCGGCGACCUUUAGAUCGGCGAGGGAAAGUCGGAGCACACCCCAAGCAGUAAAUCAUGUCAGAAGUGAAAGGCUGGUGGUUGGCUCGAGGGGAGGCCAAGGGUUCGGCAGCACGAGUGGCUGUUGAAAAAAUAAAGGUAGUGGGCUAUUAGGGUUAGUUUAGGAAAUGGGCUAAUAGGGUUUUGAUUUAUUUUUGACUUUAAUCUAUAAUGGGCCAUUUAUUUUGGACUUUUAAUUUGGGUUUCAUUAUUUUGUUGGCCAGGCCAAAAUUGGCUAUAAUAGAUCCAAAGAGCAAUUUCAA